rnacentral:lncRNA from 1 species
CAGCAGCUCGAAAGGGCCAAGCACAAACCUGUGGCAUUUGCGGUGAGGACCAAUGUCAGCUACUGUGGCGUACUGGAUGAGGAGUGCCCAGUCCAGGGCUCUGGAGUCAACUUUGAGGCCAAAGAUUUUCUGCACAUUAAAGAGAACUUAGGGGGGCCUCCUUGCCUUUCUCAUUCUUUUGCCCUGCAUCCUGUCAUUUCUGUUCUUGUCCCUCAUACAUCUUUGGAGAACCGGGCUCCAGACUUUGUUCCCUGACUCAUAGCUGCCGCUUGUUAGGUUAGGGUUAGAUGGGGAGAGACAGGGCACAGAGGACCUGUCUCCCCGGCUACUCUUGCCUUAUGGCUCUAGUGUGUGACCUACAGAGCAUGCUCCACAAGCCCCUGCCUCACCUCACUGUCAUCACUAAUAAACAUCAUGCACAGUC